rnacentral:rRNA from 1 species
ACCACUACGAGUGAAAACUUAAAACUUAAAGGACUUGACGGUACUUCACCCAACCUAGAGGAGCCUGUCUAAUAACCGAUAACCCACGAUUAAUCCAACCACUUCUAGCCACCCAGUCUAUAUACCGCCGUCGCCAGCUCACCUUGCAAAAGAAACAAAGUGAACCAAAUAGUCAUACACUAACACGACAGGUCGAGGUGUAACUAAUGAAGUGGACUAAGAUGGGCUACAUUUUCUAAUACAGACCAUACGAAUAAAGACAUGAAACUGUUUUUUGAAGGUGGAUUUAGCAGUAAG